GACGUAGGGCGCGAGCGUUGUCCGGAUUUAUUGGGCGUAAAGAGCUCGUAGGCGGUUUGUCGCGUCUGCCGUGAAAGUCCGGAGCUCAACUCCGGAUCUGCGGUGGGUACGGGCAGACUAGAGCGAUGUAGGGGAGACUGGAAUUCCUGGUGUAGCGGUGAAAUGCGCAGAUAUCAGGAGGAACACCGAUGGCGAAGGCAGGUCUCUGGGCAUUAACUGACGCUGAGGAGCGAAAGCAUGGGGAGCGAACAGG
rnacentral:rRNA from 1 species